ensembl:lncRNA
AGCACAACCAAAUGUACUCCUCGUUCUAAGCCAGUUUGCAUUUCCAGUGUGUGUGGUUGCUGGAGUUCUGUUUUUUGUAUUUUACAACCCCACCACAAGAAUGAAGAUAAAAGCUAUUUAUGACGUACCAACCCCAGCCCCUUUCUUCCAACCACUCUACAAAAAAUAUAAUGGACGUUUUCAGGAUUGGCUGGUGUCAGAGUGCAAUCUGACACCAAUGUACAAGACAGAGGAAUUUGUGACCAUCAAUACUCUGAGUAUUGAGGCCAAACCUAUAACAGGGGACCAGGAACUUUCAGGGGAAAAAACAUAUCCCCUGGCAAAU